CAUUACCGAGUCGAGGUGGCCGGCGCCCAGGCGCCGGCCACGUACCUCACCACCCGUGUCUACCGUACCUAGUUGCUUCGGCGGGCCCGCCGCUUAGCCGGCCGCCGGGGGACCCCCGAGUCCCCGGGCCCGCGCCCGUCGAAGACCCCCCGAACGCUGCCCGGAAGGUUGCUGUCUGAGCGGUUACAAACAAACCAACAAAACUUUCAACAACGGAUCUCUUGGUUCCGGCAUCG
rnacentral:misc_RNA from 1 species